rnacentral:rRNA from 1 species
CCUACGGGUGGCAGCAGUGGGGAAUAUUGGACAAUGGGGGCAACCCUGAUCCAGCCAUGCCGCGUGUGUGAAGAAGGCCCUCGGGUUGUAAAGCACUUUCAGUGAGGAAGAACGCCUGGUGGUUAAUACCCAUCAGGAAAGACAUCACUCACAGAAGAAGCACCGGCUAACUCCGUGCCAGCAGCCGCGGUAAUACGGAGGGUGCGAGCGUUAAUCGGAAUUACUGGGCGUAAAGCGCGCGUAGGUGGCUUGAUAAGCCGGUUGUGAAAGCCCCGGGCUCAACCUGGGAACGGCAUCCGGAACCGUCAAGCUAGAGUGCAGGAGAGGAAGGUAGAAUUCCCGGUGUAGCGGUGAAAUGCGUAGAGAUCGGGAGGAAUACCAGUGGCGAAGGCGGCCUUCUGGACUGACACUGACACUGAGGUGCGAAAGCGUGGGUAGCAAACAGGAUUAGAUACCCUUGUAGUC